rnacentral:rRNA from 1 species
UGGCUCAGGAUGAACGCUGGCGGCGUGCCUAAUACAUGCAAGUCGAGCGAACAGAUAAGGAGCUUGCUCCUUUGACGUUAGCGGCGGACGGGUGAGUAACACGUGGAUAACCUACCUAUAAGACUGGGAUAACUUCGGGAAACCGGAGCUAAUACCGGAUAACAUAUUGAACCGCAUGGUUCAAUAGUGAAAGGCGGCUUUGCUGUCACUUAUAGAUGGAUCCGCGCCGUAUUAGCUAGUUGGUAAGGUAACGGCUUACCAAGGCAACGAUACGUAGCCGACCUGAGAGGGUGAUCGGCCACACUGGAACUGAGACACGGUCCAGACUCCUACGGGAGGCAGCAGUAGGGAAUCUUCCGCAAUGGGCGAAAGCCUGACGGAGCAACGCCGCGUGAGUGAUGAAGGUCUUCGGAUCGUAAAACUCUGUUAUCAGGGAAGAACAAAUGUGUAAGUAACUGUGCACAUCUUGACGGUACCUGAUCAGAAAGCCACGGCUAACUACGUGCCAGCAGCCGCGGUAAUACGUAGGUGGCAAGCGUUAUCCGGAAUUAUUGGGCGUAAAGCGCGCGUAGGCGGUUUUUUAAGUCUGAUGUGAAAGCCCACGGCUCAACCGUGGAGGGUCAUUGGAAACUGGAAAACUUGAGUGCAGAAGAGGANAGUGGAAUUCCAUGUGUAGCGGUGAAAUGCGCAGAGAUAUGGAGGAACACCAGUGGCGAAGGCGACUUUCUGGUC